GUCAGAAGAAGCAGGAAACCACACACACUCCGUGGUUUUCUGGCUAUAAUCUUGUUGCAGAUCUGUGUAGAAAUAGAUCGUUGCUGUCAAUCAAAUAAGGGCUAUGACAGAAAUUUGAGAUAAGACUUUGACUACAUCAUAAUGGUUCUGCUCUUAAAAGAAUUGGGAUGUGAGAAAGGAUAGUGAGCAUUGUUCCUGUGGAAGCUCCAUAUCAGACCUGGAGGUUCAGAAGAAGAAAUUAUUCCUUCGCAUUUGGAAACAAUAUCAGAAUUGAUUUCUUGGUGCAUCAGAAGCUCCAGAUGUGUCAGAGAGAUGGUGGAAGAAUAUGCCUUGGGCAAGGCAAAAACUUGCUUCUGGGCUCCGUGAUCGGUCCUUCCCCCAUACAGAACAACUGAGAGCUUGUUUUCCGUGUGCAUCUGUGACAGAAAAAAACUUCACGUUUGCCACGAAAAAUGGAUCAACAUCUGGAGAAAAGAAAACAUUAAAAAGUUUUGGUGACUGAUGAACGAAACAUCAUGAAAAAAAUGUAACUGAACCAUCAGCCUCCCAGCUCAGGCUGCUGAAUGCUACGCUGGAGAAGAAUACAGUGGUGAGGAACAGUGUAUUCGAAAUAUAAACAUCUAAAGUUUGCCAUUAUAUUUUUGGGGGCUGCAAGAGAAUAAUCACUAGCUUAUAAAUAACAAUUGCAAGGUUCAUGAACAAUGGACUUUUUAAUAUAGAAAAUCUAUCACAAAAAGCUGUUCAGUAGAAAUAUACAAUCUAUAUGUGACAAAAGGUGUGUAAAUGCGUAAUUAAGAAUCCUAACAAAUAAAUCCCUUCUGAAUUAAAAAAAAAAAAGAUAG
rnacentral:lncRNA from 1 species